CACGUAGGAGGCGAGCGUUGUCCGGAAUCAUUGGGCGUAAAGAGCGCGCAGGCGGCUUGGCAAGUCGGGUGUGAAAUCCCGGGGCUCAACCCCGGGACUGCAUUCGAUACUGUCAGGCUAGAGGUAGGUAGGGGAGAUCGGAAUUCCUGGUGUAGCGGUGAAAUGCGCAGAUAUCAGGAGGAACACCGGUGGCGAAGGCGGAUCUCUGGGCCUUACCUGACGCUCAGGCGCGAAAGCUAGGGGAGCGAACAGG
rnacentral:rRNA from 2 species